UAAAUGUCUUUCACAUGCGCUCGCUUCUCUCUCCUUCCAUAUUCUUCGAAGAAUUAGAGAUCUCGAUCGUUGUUGUCUGAAUCGUCUGUCUACCGACAGCGGAAGAAGUUUCAAGAAUGAGACAGCCAUUUUCCCUGUUGGUUCGCUGUGAAGGUCGUGGGUAGCAAAUCUGAAGCAAUGCUAGCUGUUCAGUGGUCAUGGGUACCAAAUCUAAAGCUGUGGUAGUUGUUCGAUGGUUGUGGGUAGCAGUUCGAUGCUCACAUGUUAUCAAAUCUAUAUCAAUUUUCAGAUCUAAGCCAUUUGUAUGCAUUUUAUCUUUUCCAUCAGCUUGCUCCUAAGGGAGACUGCAAAAAAAUUUAUUCAAUUAUGGGAGCCUUCUUCUGGAACUUUAUGGAACGUCAAUAAUGCUCCAUUUGAUGGACAUUCUACCAGUGUUUGAAGAUCUGCCACAUUUCUUAAAGUACCAUUUCUUAUGAUGCUGCUACUUGAAAGUGGGAUAUGUUUCUACACUAUUGGAGCUGUAAGCCUCAAUUUUACAUCGCCCUUCUUAUGGCUUCUAACAUUCAAACUACUCAUCCUUUUAACUAAGGUUACUCGAUCUAAAAUUAAGUUAUUUGAAAUGUUUAAUUACUAUGAAUUACAUGAUGCUAAAGAUAUGUGAGGAUUGACGGACAUUUUAUCUUGUCAUGAUUAUUUAUUUUGACUUUCAACUUUGAACAUGUCUAAAGUUUGACCUAAUUAGGAGACUAUUUUAUA